GGGCCGGUAGCUCAGCCCGGUAGAGCACGGGACUCUUAAUCCUGGGGUCGCAGGUUCAAAUCCUGCCCGGCCCA
rnacentral:tRNA from 1 species